ACGGAUAUAUCACGUCGAAACACCGUUUCUCGUACGAUCACCGAAGUUAAGCAACGUUGAGAUUGGGCAGUAUCUAGAUGGGAGACCGGCUCGGAAUACCAGAUGCUGUAAG